AAUCCAUAGGUUAAUGAGGCGAACCGGGGGAACUGAAACAUCUAAGUACCCCGAGGAAAAGAAAUCAACCGAGAUUCCCCCAGUAGCGGCGAGCGAACGGGGAGGAGCCCAGAGCCUGAAUCAGCAUGUGUGUUAGUGGAAGCGUCUGGAAAGGCGCGCGAUACAGGGUGACAGCCCCGUACACAAAAGCGCAUGUGCUGUGAGCUCGAUGAGUAGGGCGGGACACGUGGUAUCCUGUCUGAAUAUGGGGGGACCAUCCUCCAAGGCUAAAUACUCCUGACUGACCGAUAGUGAACCAGUACCGUGAGGGAAAGGCGAAAAGAACCCCGGCGAGGGGAGUGAAAAAGAACCUGAAACCGUGUACGUACAAGCAGUGGGAGCACCCUUUGGGUGUGACUGCGUACCUUUUGUAUAAUGGGUCAGCGACUUAUAUUCUGUAGCAAGGUUAACCGAAUAGGGGAGCCGGAGGGAAACCGAGUCUUAACCGGGCGUUAAGUUGCAGGGUAUAGACCCGAAACCCGGUGAUCUAGCCAUGGGCAGGUUGAAGGUUGGGUAACACUAACUGGAGGACCGAACCGACUAAUGUUGAAAAAUUAGCGGAUGACCUGUGGCUGGGGGUGAAAGGCCAAUCAAACCGGGAGAUAGCUGGUUCUCCCCGAAAGCUAUUUAGGUAGCGCCUCGUGAAUUCAUCUCCGGGGGUAGAGCACUGUUUCGGCUAGGGGGCCAUCCCGGCUUACCAACCCGAUGCAAACUGCGAAUACCGGAGAAUGUUAUCACGGGAGACACACGGCGGGUGCUAACGUCCGUCGUGAAGAGGGAAACAACCCAGACCGCCAGCUAAGGUCCCAAAGUCAUGGUUAAGUGGGAAACGAUGUGGGAAGGCCCAGACAGCCAGGAUGUUGGCUUAGAAGCAGCCAUCAUUUAAAGAAAGCGUAAUAGCUCACUGGUCGAGUCGGCCUGCGCGGAAGAUGUAACGGGGCUAAACCAUGCACCGAAGCUGCGGCAGCGACACUGUGUGUUGUUGGGUAGGGGAGCGUUCUGUAAGCCUGUGAAGGUGUGUCGUGAGGCAUGCUGGAGGUAUCAGAAGUGCGAAUGCUGACAUA
rnacentral:rRNA from 1 species